UACGUAGGGGGCUAGCGUUGCUCGGAAUGACUGGGCGUAAAGGGCGCGUAGGCGGCUUGCACCGUCAGAUGUGAAAUUCCUGGGCUUAACCUGGGGGCUGCAUUUGAUACGUGUGGGCUUGAGUGCGGAAGAGGGUCGUGGAAUUCCCAGUGUAGAGGUGAAAUUCGUAGAUAUUGGGAAGAACACCAGUGGCGAAGGCGGCUUACUGGUCCGGUACUGACGCUGAGGUGCGAAAGCGUGGGGAGCAAACAGG
rnacentral:rRNA from 1 species